UCUGCUGGUUAAAAGCAUGCUGGAGCACUGUGUCAACGCCAACAUUGAUGAAGCCUACAAGAUCAUUGAGCAGCUUUGGUCACUCGGAUACUCACCAGAGGACAUCAUUGGAAAACAUCUUUAGAGUGUGUAAGACCUUUCAGAUGGCUGAAUAUUUGAAGCUGGAAUAUAUUAAGGAAAUUGGCUACACACAUAUGAAAGUGCAGAAGGAGUGAACUCUCUGUUACAGAUGGCUGGGCUGUUGGGUCGCCUGUGCAGCAAGACUGCUGCACCUGAUGCCAGCUAAAGACAAGAGAUGUUAUCAAAUGAUCACAGCCUCAGUGUUCUUUAACUCCAGAACAAGACUUAUAUAUUUUGUAAAAGAAAAAAAAAAGCAUAAUUGUGAA